ACGAAAGUCUGACGGAGCAACGCCGCGUGAGUGAUGAAGGUUUUCGGAUCGUAAAGCUCUGUUGCCAGGGAAGAACGUCCGGUAGAGUAACUGCUACCCGGAGUGACGGUACCUGAGAAGAAAGCCCCGGCUAACUACGUGCCAGCAGCCGCGGUAAUACGUAGGGGGCAAGCGUUGUCCGGAAUUAUUGGGCGUAAAGCGCGCGCAGGCGGUCAUUUAAGUCUGGUGUUUAAACCUUGGGCUCAACCUGAGGUCGCACUGGAAACUGGGUGACUUGAGUACAGAAGAGGAAAGUGGAAUUCCACGUGUAGCGGUGAAAUGCGUAGAUAUGUGGAGGAACACCAGUGGCGAAGGCGACUUUCUGGGCUGUAACUGACGCUGAGGCGCGAAAGCGUGGGGAGCAAACAGGAUUAGAUACCCUGGUAGUCCACGCCGUAAACGAUGAGUGCUAGGUGUUAGGGGUUUCGAUACCCUUGGUGCCGAAGUUAACACAGUAAGCACUCCGCCUGGGGAGUAC
rnacentral:rRNA from 1 species